rnacentral:rRNA from 1 species
CCUACGGGAGGCAGCAGUGAGGAAUAUUGGUCAAUGGGCGUAAGCCUGAACCAGCCAAGUCGCGUGAGGGAUGAAGGUUCUAUGGAUUGUAAACCUCUUUUGUCAGGGAACAAAAUGAGGGACGAGUGCCGUUCCGAGGGUACUUGAUGAAUAAGCAUCGGCUAACUCCGUGCCAGCAGCCGCGGUAAUACGGAGGAUGCGAGCGUUAUCCGGAUUUAUUGGGUUUAAGGGGUGCGUAGGCGGCCUGUUAAGUCAGCGGUAAAAGCCCGGGGCUAAACCCCGGCGAGCCGUUGAAACUGGGUGUCUUGAGAGUGCGAGAGGUAGGCGGAAUGCGCGGUGUAGCGGUGAAAUGCUUAGAUAUCACGCAGAACCCCGAUUGCGAAGGCAGCAUACCGGCGCCUGACUGACGCUGAGGCACGAAAGCGUGGGUAUCGAACAGGAUUAGAUACCCGUGUAGUC